AGGCAAAAUAGUUUUGAGAUUUACUUCUGUGUCGUUAAGUUAUAUAUAUUUUUUUAUCUCCCUCUCUCUUUUGUGUUAUUUUUAGGCAAA
rnacentral:ribozyme from 13 species